rnacentral:rRNA from 1 species
AGCGAGGUGUUCACCAGAAAAACCUUUAGCAUUGAUGCUUUCAAGGACAUGAUGAAGUUUGUAUGGUGUCUGGCCAACGAUCCUGAGAUCCGCGAGGUGGAUGACAAUCUCUUUGUCAUUCAACUUUUUUGUUUGGGUGACUAGAACCGCUUGAUGCACCAAGGUCCGUGGUUAUUCAGAGGGUUGAUGGUGUCAAUAGAGGAGUAUGAUGGCAAGGGUAAGCCGGACAAGGUUCCCCUUGACAGAGCUCAUGUGUAGGCACAAAUUCAUGAUAUACCAGAGAUCUAUCGCUUGGAGCCCAUUGUGGAUCAGCUUGCGAGGCGGAUCGGUCAGGUCAAGAGCGUUGAGAUGAACCCGACUAGGGUUUUUGAGGGCAACUAUGUGCGUGUCAGAGCUAAAAUAGAAGUGGCUGAGCCCCUUGUCCGCUUCACACCCUUAAACCUGAAUGGAAAGGAAAGGAUACUCUUGCCAGUCAAGUACAAAAAAAUGGUUUUUUCUGUGAGGUUUGUGGAAUCAUGGGACAUGUCUUGGAAGAAUGUGGCGAUGGCAUCCAUGGGCCUGACGAGAUAG